CUUAGAACGAACGCUGGCGGCGUGCUUAACACAUGCAAGUCGAACGCGAAAGGGACUUCGGUCCUGAGUAAAGUGGCGCACGGGUGAGUAACGCGUAGAUAACCUGUCUUCAUGUCUGGAAUAAUACGCCGAAAGGGGUACUAAUACCGGAUAUUCUUGCUUUUCAUAAGUUAUGCAAGCAAAGGUGGCCUCUGCAUAUGCUACUGCAUGAAGAGGGGUCUGCGUACCAUUAGCUAGUAGGUGAGGUAAUGGCCUACCUAGGCGACGAUGGUUAGCGGGUCUGAGAGGAUGAUCCGCCACACUGGCACUGGAACACGGGCCAGACUCCUACGGGAGGCAGCAGUGAGGAAUAUUGCGCAAUGGGGGAAACCCUGACGCAGCGACGCCGCGUGAGUGAAGGAAGGCCUUCGGGUCGUAAAGCUCUGUCAAGAGGAAAGAAGUGUACAAUGGCUAAUACCUGUUGUAUUUGACGGUACCUCUAAAGGAAGCACCGGCUAACUCCGUGCCAGCAGCGGC
rnacentral:rRNA from 1 species